UCAUAGCCUAACAAGUUCAUACUGACAUGAACAAGUGACAAAGAUAGCAUGUUCCACUCAACAUGAGAUCAUCAUGGGACAUUAUAAUUUAUAAUUCAAAACGGUGCCUGUUUAAGGAGAAUCUCCCGUGAAUCAGGGCGCCUUAACGUUCCUCUUGAUGAGUGAUGUUGAUGCCGA